CGAAUCGAGAGGGAUGAGCCGCCGUUCGAUGAACCGUCCGUCAACCGUCUUCCCAGUCUACUCUUUCCUUUUCACACGCGAGGGAUGACUUAGGGUGCCAGUUUUGGCGGGAAUUUUUAACCGACCGGUUUCUCUCCUUCGAAAGAUACGAUCCUGUUCUGCCAGCGGGGAUUUAUUAAUGCAUUCGAAAGAGAGUAAAAAAAGAAAAAAAAAAAGAAAAUAAAGAAAAGGGAAGAUAUUCCAUACACGUUUGUUUCACUCGCGAAGCACGUUCUACGGAAUAGGAAAAAAAAAGAAAAAAGUACAAAUGGAAUAUGUAUGGAUGUUCCCCUAAAAAAAAUGAUUGAAGAAUCCUCUUAUAAUUUUUGGUUCUACUACGUGAAUCGAUCUAAUCGCUAAAAAAAAAA